GACAGAGGCCUCGAGCGUUAGGCGGAAUCACUGGGCUUAAAGCGUGUGUAGGCGGAUCGUUAAGUACCUUGUGAAAUCCCCGGGCUCAACCUGGGAACUGCAUUGGUGACUGGCAGGCUAGAGUAUGGCAGAGGGGGGUAGAAUUCCACGUGUAGCAGUGAAAUGCGUAGAGAUGUGGAGGAACACCGAUGGCGAAGGCAAUCCCCUGGGCCUGCACUGACGCUCAUGCACGAAAGCGUGGGGAGCAAACAGG
rnacentral:rRNA from 1 species